GUUAUAAUUUGCAGAAUAUGGUAUGUGACGUCACAGAGGAUCAAGCGGGCCAUGGUACGAAAGAAAAAUGAAGAAAAUUCAGCGAAUAAAGCUGCAGAAGAAAAGCGCAAGACGAAGAACAAAGACGAAAACGCCGAUAAAGGAUACACGGUUUGAGGUUUGAGGGCUUUGGUGUUGUAUAUGUGUCUUUUCUGCGCUGCUGUGUCCUUAUACUGCUGGACCUAAUGUUGCCAGCUAUUUUUU